rnacentral:rRNA from 1 species
UGGGGAAUUUUGGACAAUGGGCGCAAGCCUGAUCCAGCCAUGCCGCGUGUCUGAAGAAGGCCUUCGGGUUGUAAAGAACUUUUGUCAGGGAAGAAAAGGCUGUUGCUAAUAUCGACAGCUGAUGACGGUACCUGAAGAAUAAGCACCGGCUAACUACGUGCCAGCAGCCGCGGUAAUACGUAGGGUGCGAGCGUUAAUCGGAAUUACUGGGCGUAAAGCGAGCGCAGACGGUUACUUAAGCAGGAUGUGAAAUCCCCGGGCUCAACCUGGGAACUGCGUUCUGAACUGGGUGACUAGAGUGUGUCAGAGGGAGGUAGAAUUCCACGUGUAGCAGUGAAAUGCGUAGAGAUGUGGAGGAAUACCGAUGGCGAAGGCAGCCUCCUGGGAUAACACUGACGUUCAUGCUCGAAAGCGUGGGUAGCAAACAGGAUUAGAUACCCUGGUAGUCCACGCCCUAAACGAUGUCAAUUAGCUGUUGGGCAACUUGAUUGCUUAGUAGCGUAGCUAACGCGUGAAAUUGACCGCCUGGGGAGUACGGUCGCAAGAUUA